rnacentral:rRNA from 1 species
GACGAACGCUGGCGGCGUGCUUAACACAUGCAAGUCGAACGGUAAGGCCCUUCGGGGUACACGAGUGGCGAACGGGUGAGUAACACGUGGGUGAUCUGCCCUGCACUUCGGGAUAAGCCUGGGAAACUGGGUCUAAUACCGGAUAGGACCACUGCCUGCAUGGGUGGUGGUGGAAAGCUUUUGCGGUGUGGGAUGGGCCCGCGGCCUAUCAGCUUGUUGGUGGGGGGAUGGCCUACCAAGGCGACGACGGGUAGGCGGCCUGAGCGGGUGACCGGCCACACUGGGACUGAGAUACGGCCCAGACUCCUACAGGAGGCAGCAGUGGGGAAUAUUGCACAAUGGGCGCAAGCCUGAUGCAGCGACGCCGCGUGAGGGAUGACGGCCUUCGGGUUGUAAACCUCUUUCAGCACCGACGAAGCGCAAGUGACGGUAGGUGCAGAAGAAGGACCGGCCAACUACGUGCCAGCCGCCGCGGUAA